rnacentral:lncRNA from 10 species
GUAAGACUCUGUCUCAAAUAAAUAAAAAUAAAAAUAUAAUAACUACAUAGCAUUUACAUUGUAUUAGGUAUUUUAAGUAAUCUAGAGAUGAUUUAAAGUAUGUGGGAAGGCCAAGCACAGUGUCUCCCACCUGUAAUCCCAGCACUUUGGAAGGCCAAGGUGGGAGGAUCACUUGAGCUCAGGAGUUCAAGACCAGCCUGGGCAAUAUAGUGAGACCCUAUCUCUUAUUUAAAAAAAAAAUAGUAAUUUUAAAAAAAAGUAUAUGGGAAGAGCAGUGCAGGUUUUAUGCAAAUACUACACCAUUUUUAUAUAAGGGAUUUGUGCAUCUGCAGAGUUUGGUAUCUGGGUAACUAAUCCCCAGCAGAUUCAGAGGGACGACUGUACUUAAGGGAAUGACGGAAGCCAGCCUAGCAGAG